rnacentral:rRNA from 1 species
UACGUAGGUGGCAAGCGUUGUCCGGAAUUAUUGGGCGUAAAGCGCGCGCAGGUGGUUUCUUAAGUCUGAUGUGAAAGCCCACGGCUCAACCGUGGAGGGUCAUUGGAAACUGGGGAACUUGAGUGCAGGAGAGAAGAGUGGAUGUCCACGUGUAGCGGUAAAUGCGUAGAGAUGUGGAGGAACACCAGUGGCGAAGGCGGCUUUCUGGUCUGUAACUGACGCUGAGGCGCGAAAGCGUGGGGAGCAAACAGG